CAGUCGUACCAGCGGAUAAUCAGCCUUUAGAUGCGAUUUUGUGGAGCGUGAAGAGCUAAUCGCCUUUAUGCCUGUAUAUUCGUGUACUUGGGGUGCACUUAUUCGUGUGGUAAGUUAACAUCUAAUUUUGGUUGUCAAUAAAAUGAUUGGAGGAAUGUAGCUUCGAUCUCGUAUUGAAGUGUUAUAGUCCUUUGGUAGAUGUGACGAUCGGGAUUGAGGAUUGCAACGGAUACCCUUCGGGGCUACCUGUCUGAUCUCUG
rnacentral:rRNA from 1 species